rnacentral:rRNA from 1 species
CAGUCAUGCUAGUGAAAAAUCAGUUUGACGGGUUUCGAGUUCUUGAGUAGAGGCAGGGUCAAACCGGUUCUCUUUUGAACUUGGAAUUUGUCAGAUGCACUUUUUCUUUGGCAGGUCAGCGUCGAUUUCGGAGGUUGUAAAAUACUUGGGGAAAAGUAGCUCUGCUUUGGGAGAGUGUUAUAGACCUUGGGUGAUGCGGCCUGCGGGAUCGAGGAUUGCAGCAAAUGCCUUUGGCUUGUCGCCUGAUCUCUGGAUGUUACCUCGCUUGUGACGACAUUCUUGCCACCUGUGGGUACUAAUGCCCAUUAGGUUAGAGCGAUACAAAAAUUUUGACUUAAGGAUGCUGACGUAAUGG